GAUUACACAACGAGGACGACAAUGAAAAAGAGAGAGUGAAAAGAGCAAAGAGGAAAUAAAUUAGUAAAUGAAAUUUUAUAAAGGAUAAAACAGUUUGAAACUGUAAACCAAAAUUUUUGAACGUGGGAUGAGAUAUUGUGAGAAAAUUUAAGAAUUUAGUUUUUUUUUUUAAUUAUAUAAAUAUUAAGAAUCAAAAACAUGAUUUUUUUGUGUUUAUUAAUUUUUUUUUGAAAAGUUUUGCCAAAUGUCAAAUUUUAAUUCGUUAAGUGAGUUGUGAUUUAGUAUAUGUGAUUUAGUUAGUAUAAAGGGAUAAUCAAAAUUUUGAUGGGUCACACACUGCAUAACUUUCAAGUUGCUCAAAAAAAAAAACUUUCAAAAUAAUAAAUCUAUCAUCGGCCUAAAUUUCGGAAUAUUAAAUAUUAUGGGGGCCUUAUUUGGAAGUCAAUAGUAGACCGAUUACCCGGACCCGCUUUUGAAAAUACCAACGGAGGCAAAAGCCGAUUCCACGUUCAUCUCUGAAUCUCUCUCUCUCUCUCUCUCUCUCUCUCUCUCUCUCUCUCUCUCUCUCUCUCUGGGGAAAACUUUCGUUAAGAUUUGGUAGAAUCGUGAUGGGUUUAUCAAAAGGUAGAUUGAAAGCAUGGUUCAAUAUGAAAAUCACUGAUCCUCUCCUCCAGAUCUUGCGUAGAGGCACUGAGCCGAAGCAGCUUGCUUUCUCUGCCGCACUCGGUAUUACCUUGGGGAUAUUUCCCAUAUGCGGUGUUCCUGUGUUUCUAUGUGGAGUAGCUAUUGCGUUUCUUGGAUCUGCUUGUCAUGCUCCUACCGUGAUGUUGGCUAACAUCAUUGCCACUCCAGCAGAACUUGCCCUCGUGGUGCCUUUCCUAAGACUUGGUGAGAAAGUCACAGGUGGACCUCAUUUUCCUUUGACAUCAGAUGCCCUGAAGAAGGUUUUCACUGGUCAAGCCUCCCAGCAAGUCUUUUUAAGCAUUGGUAAUGCGGUAAGUAGCUACAAUGAGACUCUCUCUUUUCUCUUACCGUUAUCUUGUGUUUCAAGAUGAGGCAAGCAGUCUCAUUCAUCGCCUAACAUAGUGAGGCUACGCAAUUUCACAUAGCAGCUCGCUCUGUAAUGCCUCAAGCUGCUCUCAUGCCUCCAAAAAGGGAUCAAUGAAGGCGCCUCGGAUACCAAAGGCGACAUUGAGCAUUUGCCUAGGCUUGAAGCGUGUUUCCAGCAUUAUAAAAUCUGCCGUGUUGCAGUCCCCUAGCCUAGUCAUAUAUGGUUUGAAAGAUAAGUCUUUGAUUUGUUAGUCCUUUGGUUUAUUCGUUACUGCAGUUACUAGGGUGGCUUUUAGCAACUCCAUUCUUCUUUAUUGCGCUGUACCUUGUGUUGCUUCCGUGUUUCAAGAUCCUCGUUCGCAAGUUUGGCGGCGAUGCUUCAACCCCCAAAAUACCAAUAAGUAUGGAGACGGAGCUCAACCCGAAGCCUAGAGUCGCUUAAGUUCAACAAGAGUUAGGGUUCUCAUUUUACUGCUAAUCAACACGAAACCCUU